GGCGGCAUGCUUAACGCAUGCAAGUCGAACGAAGGCUUCGGCCUUAGUGGCGCACGGGUGAGUAACGCGUGGGAACCUGCCUCUUGGUUUGGAAUAACUGCGGGAAACUGCAGCUAAUACCGGAUACGUCGAGCGACUGUGGUGGUUGCUUGGGAAAGAUUUAUCGCCGAGAGAGGGGCCCGCGUUCGAUUAGGUAGUUGGUGAGGUAACGGCUCACCAAGCCUACGAUCGAUAGCUGGUCUGAGAGGAUGAUCAGCCACACUGGGACUGAGACACGGCCCAGACUCCUACGGGAGGCAGCAGUGGGGAAUAUUGGACAAUGGGCGCAAGCCUGAUCCAGCAAUGCCGCGUGAGUGAUGAAGGCCUUAGGGUUGUAAAGCUCUUUCGGCGGGGACGAUGAUGACGGUACCCGCAGAAGAAGCCCCGGCUAACUUCGUGCCAGCAGCCGCGGUAAUACGAAGGGGGCUAGCGUUGUUCGGAAUUACUGGGCGUAAAGGGCGCGUA
rnacentral:rRNA from 1 species